GUUGGCAACAGGGGUGGUGGCGUGGAGCUCACGGCGAGCGCACUCGAUCAGCACUGAGCCAUGCGUGGGCGCGAUGGCUACCCCGCCCACGCUGGCGUCCAGGAAGAUGUGCUCACUGUCCGACCAGUACUCGUCCAGGGGAAAACUCCGAUGUUCCAACACCAGGUGAACAGACUUCCUCUUCACUUUUGGGAGAAACCACUGUAAUUCCGCCUGAACUGACUACAUUCAGGUUCCUGAGAAUCUGUGCUGGGUCUGGCAAGGGGGUCUCUGGAGAGACAGCGGUUGGUGCUGCCAGUCUCUGGGGUCUGAGGUGCUCUCGGGCAUCCUGCGGAAACCGUGUUUGGUCACUGCUGGCCACCAGAAUUCCUGGCCAGACAAGAUUGUGAGAAGACAGGAGCAGGAAAAGGCAAGAUAAAGGGGGAAUGAAGUCUAUCUCACAUUCCUUUGGAAUCCUGUCUACUCAGCGCCUUCGCAGAUACCUUUUUUUUCCUGUAGUACCCAAGUCCGAUGCCUGCAGUCCGAUGUACAGUAACCUGAGUCCACUUUCUCAGCCAAAGUUAACCAUUUAUUUCACUACAAGACAAUAAAGCCACAGGUAUUUUUCACAUUUAAACUUUUAUUUAUCUACUCU